rnacentral:snoRNA from 1 species
AUUUUAAGUGAUGUGAUUAAUCCAUAUUUUUUAAACAUGAUUCCUGAGUGAAACAAUGGAACAUGCACCACCAUCUGAUAAAAU